rnacentral:tRNA from 1 species
GGGCUCGUGGUCUAGUUGGUUAUGACGUCGCCCUGACAUGGCGGAGGUCUUGAGUUCGAAUCUCAACGAGCCCA